rnacentral:rRNA from 1 species
UACGUAGGGUGCAAGCGUUGUUCGGAAUUACUGGGCGUAAAGGGCUCGUAGGUGGCCAACUAAGUCGGACGUGAAAUCCCUCAGCUUAACUGGGGAACUGCGUCCGAUACUGGAUGGCUUGAGUUUGGGAGAGGGAUGCGGAAUUCCAGGUGUAGCGGUGAAAUGCGUAGAUAUCUGGAGGAACACCGGUGGCGAAGGCGGCAUCCUGGACCAACACUGACACUGAGGAGCGAAAGCCAGGGGAGCAAACGGG